UCUGUGUUUAUAUUUGCAAGUAUCAAACAUGUCAGUAGAAUUUAGAUAAUUUUUUGAUCAGAGGAGGGGAUACCAACUGGAGCCUGACCUAUCAGAAGAAGUGUCGGCCCGACUCCGCCUGGGCAGUGGAAGUAAUGGCUUACUCAGGAGGAAAGUGUCAAUAAUUGAGACAAAGGAAAAGACUUGCUCUGGCAAAGAGAGGGACAGAAGAACGGACGAUCUCCUUGAACUUACAGAGGACAUGGAAAAGGAAAUCAGUAAUGCCCUAGGCCAUGGCCCACAGGAUGAAAUCCUAAGUAGUGCUUUCAAAUUGCGAAUUACUCGAGGAGAUAUUCAGACAUUAAAGAACUAUCACUGGCUCAAUGAUGAAGUCAUUAAUUUUUACAUGAAUCUUCUGGUGGAAAGAAAUAAAAAGCAAGGCUAUCCAGCACUUCAUGUAUUCAGUACUUUCUUCUAUCCUAAAUUAAAGUCUGGGGGUUACCAAGCAGUGAAACGAUGGACCAAAGGGGUAAAUCUCUUUGAACAAGAAAUUAUCCUGGUGCCUAUUCAUCGGAAGGUACAUUGGAGCCUGGUGGUGAGUAGAGAGGGUUA
rnacentral:sRNA from 1 species